rnacentral:misc_RNA from 1 species
GUUCAAGACAUGGCAUGAAAAUUAAGAUGCAAGCCAUCAUGGCCAGAGAAGAAUUGAUGGUUGAAUAAUCAAUUACUGCCACAAGUGCAUUCAUAUUCCUCUAAUAAAAAUGAUAUAUUCAAUACAUAAGCAUUCCUAGAUAGAUUCACCAUAGAUCAAACUACAGUCCAAACUCAAAAGCUAAAGGUUAGUGUAUUUCUUUUUCUUUUAUGGUCAUUUUAAAAAGUUGCAAUGUCACAGCGAGAAACAAUGAAUAAAACCUCAACAUGCCUUUCACAAAACGUCAGCAGUUGAAACUUAAUAAACAUCAGCAGGAUCCAUAGGUCCAUCAACAUAAGUACUAAGAUUAAUCAGAUUGG